rnacentral:precursor_RNA from 12 species
AAUCUUUCUUCUUUCCCUUCCAGUUGCCCCAUUCACACCAGAUGCUCCCUUUUGUGAAUUCUGUCAAAAGGGAUAUCCUGUGUGAAAGGGGUUGCUGGGACUGAAUUCCUGAGCCGGAA